rnacentral:rRNA from 1 species
GUGGUAAUGCCGGAUGCUCCAGUUGAUCGCAUGGUCUUCUGGGAAAGCCUUUGCGGCAUGGGAUGGGGUCGCGUCCUAUCAGCUUGAUGGCGGGGUAACGGCCCACCAUGGCUUCGACGGGUAGCCGGCCUGAGAGGGCGACCGGCCACAUUGGGACUGAGAUACGGCCCAGACUCCUACGGGAGGCAGCAGUGGGGAAUAUUGCACAAUGGGCGCAAGCCUGAUGCAGCGACGCCGCGUGAGGGAUGGAGGCCUUCGGGUUGUAAACCUCUUUUGUUAGGGAGCAAGGCAUUUUGUGUUGAGUGUACCUUUCGAAUAAGCACCGGCUAACUACGUGCCAGCAGCCGCGGUAAUACGUAGGGUGCAAGCGUUAUCCGGAAUUAUUGGGCGUAAAGGGCUCGUAGGCGGUUCGUCGCGUCCGGUGUGAAAGUCCAUCGCUUAACGGUGGAUCCGCGCCGGGUACGGGCGGGCUUGAGUGCGGUAGGGGAGACUGGAAUUCCCGGUGUAACGGUGGAAUGUGUAGAUAUCG